UAACCUCCCUCUUCUCCCAACCAAUGUGGGUGGAAACACCUCUACAUUAUGCAAGAUUGUUUUAAGGAUUAUACAGACAGGUGCCGUGCUUUGAAUGCUCUGUAUUAAUGCAGGGGUAUAUUCGUCACCGCCAUCAUAGCAUUAUGGAAUGUUUUCUAAAGAUGGAAGCACCUGUCCAUUUCUUUCUUAUUUUUCCAAUCCUCAGUUCAGCUCUUCUUGAACUUCAUUCUUAAAUUUGGCUCAUCCUGUGCUUUGGAAACUUGUUUUUAAGAGUUUGCAUUAAAAUCCACAGGCAUUUUUGUACAUGUUCCUGAGUAUAUAUCCAUUUUUGCAGGCGUUCUUACAUCACGCACAUUUCCUUGUGCAGAUUUGACCAUCAUUUCCCUUAAUGUGCUCUGUUUUGAAGACAUUUUGAUUGGAGAACUUCACUGCAAAUUUGGAGAAGUGCAGCUUUCCGAGGAUAUCUGGGGUUUGCUUCACACUGUGAAAUGGAUUGUUGCAGCCUGCUUGCUCCCAUAUCAGCAGGAAGGAGUAAAAUCUUUCGACUUUGCCUCGCCCUGCUUUGCUCGAGGCCAGCCUCUGUGGCAGCUGGCACAGAUGGGAACCAUGCUCCUCACUCAGAGGAUGCUAACUUGUGGGCAGAAGUGGCUUUCUGGAAUAUCGGCGAGGGGAUGCUGCGGCCCAGGGUCGAGCUGAGGACCCGCAACUGCAAGCCUGAAGGGCAGAGACAGACAGCGUUGUUUGAGAGAGGGCUCUAGGGCCUCUGGGACAAAGAUCAGAGGAUGCUGAGAACGGGGACGUGGCCUGAGGGAGGUGGAAGGCCAGAAUCCAGGAGGCAACAGAGGAACCUGUGCGGCCGCUCAUCACCACCACCCGGCAGGCAGCCGUGUCCGUCCGUUGCAGCAAAAAGAGCAGGAGGAACUCUGAAAUGCUGAAGCCUAUGAUCAUCGCAAUCUCCCCAAAGUCCCGGUGGAACUUCACGUGGGAUUCUCCCUAUUCCAUCCUGACAGUCUGAGAAAGAAUAAAGAAGGGAACUCUUGCUAAAAGAACAACGAAACUACAGGUCUGCAGCUCCAAGAAAGAGUACAGUGAAGUAAAAAGCAGAGGUGAGACAUCGAGGUGGCAUAAAGUAUUGUGGGGUUUAUCUGUCAGCUGUAACAUUCCUUUUCCUACAGAAAGGGAUUUUAUUUUUAGCACUCAGUAUUGGGGAUGUCAGAAAAGCUGGCUGGGAGAAGACUAGAUCAAAAGAUUUUUUUCCCCAUACAAAAGAUGCACACCUGCUUAGUAAUUCACUGAAGCCAACUUUUAUAUUCAUUCGCUUCCAUAACACCAGUCAAACAUACUUCUGGCUUUGCUGUUUGAUAUUUGAAAGCUGGAAAUAAGUUUCUCACAAGUUAACUAUCCAGCAGAGGCUUUCAGGGAAAGUAUAACUUUUGUAUAGUUUUGCCACUGUCCCUUAUAAAAAGACAAGGAAGGGGGGUGGGUGUCAAUUAAUUAAUUAAAAUAUUUCUAGGCGGCCAUUCUGGGCAGAAGCACUUCCGAGGCACCUUAUAACAAUAAAAUUGAUUGAUAAACUUUCAUAAAAGCAACAAACUAAGAAGCAACAAUGAACCCACACAAAGCAGAAAAAAAUGUCAGCAUAAAUAGGUUUUUAGUGCCAUCCUAAAAGCUUGCAAAGUCCUACCUGAUAAACCCCAAGGGCAUCCUGCUCUAGAAGUUUAGGGCCGCUGCAGAAAAACCCCUCAUGUGUACUUGACCAUCAAACUGUGCUCAAAUGUGGGCAAGUAGGAAGACCUUCUGUUGCUGAUCCUAAAGUGUGAGGAGCAAGAUAUGGAUGAAGGUCAAGUAAUUUGGUCCUAUGUUUUGUGUGUGUGGUGGGGGAGCAUCCAGAGGGGUUCGGCUGCCCCACUGAAUUUGGGCAAUGGGGCCAUCCACAAACCUGUCCUUGGUCUGAGUGGA